rnacentral:lncRNA from 1 species
CUCAUUUUUGCCGGGGACACAAUUUCGCCGUUUAAGGAUUUUGAGGUGUAAAAACUUCAAAGGAUGGCUGAAAUGGAAGAAAUGUACCCGUAAAUUAUAUUUUUAUAACAAAUAUAAAAAAAAAAUUAAACUGAGACAAAAUUGCGGCUCCUACCGAAAAUGACCGAAAAACGGACAACGAUUUUCGGACAAUUUCCUGAAUAAAAAGCACGAUUUCAAAGAAGUAUUUCUAAGUAAAUAUUUGACUGAAUGCCCUAAUUUUGAAUUCUUUAUACCUUUGAAAUGUCUGCUAUUCAUCUAUAUUGCAAUUGAUUUGAUAAAAAUUGUUAAAAGCUGCGGUUAUUUGGUUUUAAAUAGAUGUGUAAAAACGGCGAAUAUGUGUCCCCCAUUGACAAAACAUCCGGAAAUUUCAAACACCCUUUAAUCUAACUUUUCAGAUGAUUUUCUUAAAACAAACCGGUUUUCAAGCUUAAGUAUAUUUUGCAUUUGAAGUUAUCUUCAUAUAACGUAAGGGUACCCAAAUUGCACCGAGUACCCAAAUUGCACCUAUUUAGAAAAAAUAGCAACGGAAAUCUUACAAGAUUUCCUAGAGACUAAACAAUUUGUAUUUUUAUGAUUUGAUACUAUGCACGUCUUUCAACAUAGGUAAACAUAUUUAGAUAUACACAAAACGUUCACAGUAUUUAUCAACAGAUGGACUGUUUACUGAAGAAGAAAAAAAUGUACGAAAACGUCACCAUGCGACGUCAUCAAAACG